AACGGUCUAUACCUGCGGUACCUGCGGAAGGAUCAUUACCGAGUUUACAAAACUCCCAAACCCUUUGUGAACCUUACCUAUCGUUGCUUCGGCGGGACCGCCCCGGCGCCCUCGCGGCCCGGAACCAGGCGCCCGCCGGAGGCCCCAAACCCUCAUGUCUUUAGUGGUUUCCUCCUCUGAGUGACAUAAACAAAUAAAGUAAAAACUUUCAGCAAUGGAUCUCUAGAUCGGAAGAGCACA
rnacentral:misc_RNA from 1 species